UACGGAGGGUGCAAGCGUUAUCCGGAUUCACUGGGUUUAAAGGGUGCGUAGGUGGGCAAGUAAGUCAGUGGUGAAAUCUCCGGGCUUAACCCGGAAACUGCCAUUGAUACUAUUUGUCUUGAAUACUUUGGAGGUAAGCGGAAUAUGUCAUGUAGCGGUGAAAUGCUUAGAUAUGACAUAGAACACCAAUUGCGUAGGCAGCUUACUACACAGUAAUUGACACUGAGGCACGAAAGCGUGGGGAUCAAACAGG
rnacentral:rRNA from 1 species